rnacentral:lncRNA from 1 species
AUUGAGACCAUACUAGCUGUGGAUAACCCAAAUAUGAUAUACCCUCAUGGGGUAGCAGUUGUGUGAAGUUGGGAAGACUGGAGUAAAAUGGAAUGUUCUAGUACUCUAAGGAAAGGAGAUAUUACCUUUUACCAGUGUACGAGUCAUGUUUUAAAUGUUUGCGUUGAGGUUAGAAGUCAGGUCAUCUCUUUGUGUACUCUUUACUCUUCACUAGUAAUUUGUUAAUUCAGUCAUCAAGCUUCUAGGUAGUAGCCAGACAACCUUAGCUGUCUCCUGUCCCCAUCUAUAAAAUGGUUAUCAUGCCCACCCUACUGUCAAAGUAUAAAUAUUUACUGGAAGCUCAUUUUAGAAAUAAAUACAAAAAAAAAAAAAAAAGACAUGGGCCCUACCUUCAUAGAAUUGAUUGUCUUGCCUUAGAGAUGAAAGUGAGAAAUAAAUAAUAUUGUGAAAAAAGUUUUUGUUCCCUGAGAAUUAGAUACAGAUCCAGGGGCAAUGUAGCUGCUACUUUUGUCACUGCAUUGCUUGCUAAUCAUGUUCCCUGGAUAGACUUGUCCUUUCCCUUCCAUGGCCCAGAUCUCCUGCAGCUGCAUGUUGGGUUUGAGAGGACAACCUUUCCAGACAAAGAUCAUUCUUUGUUAUGGGUACACACA